rnacentral:rRNA from 1 species
AGGACGAACGCUGGCGGCGUGCUUAACACAUGCAAGUCGAACGGGAUCCAACCAGUGGCAACACUGGGGAAGAUCUAGUGGCGAACGGGUGAGUAACACGUGAGGAACCCACCCCGAUCUCAGGAAUAACAGUGGGAAACCACUGCUAAUACCGGAUGCCUUCCUCGAGUCUCAUGGCUCGGCGAAGAAAGGGUUACCGGAUCGGGAGGGUCUCGCGGCCUAUCAGCUUGUUGGCGGGGUAACGGCCCACCAAGGCGUCGACGGGUAGCUGGUCUGAGAGGAUGAUCAGCCACACUGGGACUGAGACACGGCCCAGACUCCUACGGGAGGCAGCAGUGGGGAAUCUUGCGCAAUGGGCGAAAGCCUGACGCAGCAACGCCGCGUGGGGAUGAAUGCCUUCGGGUUGUAAACCCUUUCAGCAGGAACGAAAUGACGGUACCUGCAGAAGAAGGCCCGGCCAACUACGUGCCAGCAGCCGC